AUUGAACGCUGGCGGCAGGCCUAACACAUGCAAGUCGCACGAGUCGCGGACGGGUGAGUAAUGCUUGGGACUCUGGCCUAUGGAGGGGGAUAACGACGGGAAACUGUCGCUACUACCGCCUACCAUAGGAUGAGCCCAAGUGGGAUUAGGUAGUUGGCGGGGGAAAGGCCCACCACGCUGACGAUCUCUAGCUGGUCUGAGAGGAGGACCAGCCACACAGGGACUGGGACACGGCCCGGACGCCUACGGGAGGCAGCAGUGGGGAAUAUUGAGCAAUGGGGGCAACCUGAGGCAGCCAUGCCGCGUGAAUGAAGAAGGCCUUCGGGUUGUAAAGUACUUUCGGUGACAAGGCGUUGAUCGCAGAAGAAGCACCGGCUAACUCCGUGCCAGCAGCCGCGGUAAUAC
rnacentral:rRNA from 1 species